UACGAAGGGGGCUAGCGUUGCUCGGAAUCACUGGGCGUAAAGCGCACGUAGGCGGAUUGCUAAGUCAGGGGUGAAAUCCUGGAGCUCAACUCCAGAACUGCCUUUGAUACUGGCGACCUUGAGUCCGGGAGAGGUGAGUGGAACUCCUGGUGUAGCGGUGGAAUGCGCAGAUAUCAGGAAGAACACCAACGGCGAAGGCAGCUCGCUGGGACGGAACUGACGCUGAGGCGCGAAAGCGUGGGGAGCGAACAGG
rnacentral:rRNA from 1 species